UACGAAGGGGGCUAGCGUUGUUCGGAUUUACUGGGCGUAAAGGGCGCGUAGGCGGCCACCGCAAGUCAGUUGUGAAAUCUCUGGGCUUAACCCAGAAAGGUCAACUGAUACUGCGGGGCUAGAGUGCAGAAGGGGCAACUGGAAUUCUCGGUGUAGCGGUGAAAUGCGUAGAUAUCGAGAGGAACACCUGCGGCGAAGGCGGGUGCUGGGCUGACACGUGACGCUGAUGCGCGAAAGCUAGGGGAGCGAACGGGAUUAGAGUACC
rnacentral:rRNA from 1 species